GACGAACGCUGGCGGCGUGCCUAAUACAUGCAAGUAGAACGCUGAAGGAGGAGCUUGCUUCUCUGGAUGAGUUGCGAACGGGUGAGUAACGCGUAGGUAACCUGCCUGGUAGCGGGGGAUAACUAUUGGAAACGAUAGCUAAUACCGCAUAAUAGUAGAUGUUGCAUGACAUUUGCUUAAAAGGUGCAAUUGCAUCACUACCAGAUGGACCUGCGUUGUAUUAGCUAGUUGGUGGGGUAACGGCUCACCAAAGCGACGAUACAUAGCCGACCUGAGAGGGUGAUCGGCCACACUGGGACUGAGACACGGCCCAGACUCCUACGGGAGGCAGCAGUAGGGAAUCUUCGGCAAUGGACGGAAGUCUGACCGAGCAACGCCGCGUGAGUGAAGAAGGUUUUCGGAUCGUAAAGCUCUGUUGUAAGAGAAGAACGAGUGUGAGAGUGGAAAGUUCACACUGUGACGGUAUCUUACCAGAAAGGGACGGCUAACUACGUG
rnacentral:rRNA from 1 species